rnacentral:lncRNA from 1 species
AAUGGGAUGACAGAGGGUUGUCUUGAGAAGCUCCCCGUUAGCCUCUAAAGUUUCCCGCCAAAAAUAAGUAAAUCAAGAUUAUAAAUCCAAGCCGAAGAGAUAGAGAGAGGGAGAAGGCGGAGGGAGGAGGAUCCGGUGGAGAGAAGUAAGAAAUGGAUUGAAAGGAAAAGAGACAGAAUGACAAUUACGGGGCACAAAAGCAUGGCUAUGGGCCUUGCUGCGUUAUCGAAAUGAUCUCAAAGCCUCGCUUAGCUCUGCCCGGCCCAAUAACCAUUCCUGGGUCUCAAAGUACGUGUCGUCGACAGCAAUGCCAAUUACGUGUAAGCUUUGGGAGAGCAAGAAUUAAUUCUAGAGAGCUCCUACUCUUUGACAGCCUCAUCAUCGGAGAAGCAUGGAGAUGUCCAUAUGCAUACCUUCUGGAUGACUUGGAACAAUUCUUCAACGCGUUCGCAACAAGUAUAUGUUUUGACUUCGAUCAGCUGAUCCAAAGGAAAAUGUUGCAAGUCAACAGGAGACAUUUGAGCUGGUUGACAUGACUAAUUAAAAAAGGUGUCAAAGUCAGAUACCAACUUAAAUCUCCACCUUAUUCCUAUUGACAGGUAACGUGCGUCUCACUCCACUCAUCUUUCUCUGCACUUAGAACUCUCAAGCGCUAAGGUUACUAGCUUCGAUCAAUUUCCUAUAUGUUUCAAAGACAUUGUUGUUCGUCAAAUCCACUUAAAAGUCAACCACCUGCUCGUUGAAUCUACUGAGAUCAAGCGUGUGGGCCCUCGGUUGCUUUGCUUCUCUCGUUUCCAGUACU